ensembl:lncRNA
AACUUCACCAAUACCAGCCCUCCCAUCAGUGACUAUAACCAUCAGUCACAACCAACAUCUUCUAGCCACCAAUACUUAAUCCAUGCCAGCCCUGCCAUCAGAGACUAUUACCAUCAGUCACAAGCAACAUCUUUUAGCCACCAAUACCUCAGCCAAGCCAGCCCUUCCACCAGUGACUAUAACCAUCAGUCACUACAAACAUCUUCUAGCCACCAGUACUUAAUCCAUGCCAGCCCUGCCAUCAGAGACUAUUACCAUCAGUCACAAGCAACAUCUUUUAGCCACCAAUACCUCAGCCAAGCCAGCCCUUCCACCAGUGACUAUAACCAUCAGUCACUACAAACAUCUUCUAGCCACCAGUACUUAAUCCAUGCCAGCCCUGCCAUCAGAGACUAUUACCAUCAGUCACAAGCAACAUCUUUUAGCCACCAAUACCUCAGCCAAGCCAGCCCUUCCACCAGUGACUAUAACCAUCAGUCACUACAAACAUCUUCUAGCCACCAGUACUUAAUCCAUGCCAGCCCUGCCAUCAGAGACUAUUACCAUCAGUCACAAGCAACAUCUUUUAGCCACCAAUACCUCAGCCAAGCCAGCCCUUCCACCAGUGACUAUAACCAUCAGUCACUACAAACAUCUUCUAGCCACCAGUACUUAAUCCAUGCCAGCCCUGCCAUCAGAGACUAUUACCAUCAGUCACAAGCAACAUCUUUUAGCCACCAAUACCUCAGCCAAGCCAGCCCUUCCACCAGUGACUAUAACCAUCAGUCACUACAAACAUCUUCUAGCCACCAGUACUUAAUCCAUGCCAGCCCUGCCAUCAGAGACUAUUACCAUCAGUCACAAGCAACAUCUUUUAGCCACCAAUACCUCAGCCAAGCCAGCCCUUCCACCAGUGACUAUAACCAUCAGUCACUACAAACAUCUUCUAGCCACCAGUACUUAAUCCAUGCCAGCCCUGCCAUCAGAGACUAUUACCAUCAGUCACAAGCAACAUCUUUUAGCCACCAAUACCUCAGCCAAGCCAGCCCUUCCACCAGUGACUAUAACCAUCAGUCACUACAAACAUCUUCUAGCCACCAGUACUUAAUCCAUGCCAGCCCUGCCAUCAGAGACUAUUACCAUCAGUCACAAGCAACAUCUUUUAGCCACCAAUACCUCAGCCAAGCCAGCCCUUCCACCAGUGACUAUAACCAUCAGUCACUACAAACAUCUUCUAGCCACCAGUACUUAAUCCAUGCCAGCCCUGCCAUCAGAGACUAUUACCAUCAGUCACAAGCAACAUCUUUUAGCCACCAAUACCUCAGCCAAGCCAGCCCUUCCACCAGUGACUAUAACCAUCAGUCACUACAAACAUCUUCUAGCCACCAGUACUUAAUCCAUGCCAGCCCUGCCAUCAGAGACUAUUACCAUCAGUCACAAGCAACAUCUUUUAGCCACCAAUACCUCAGCCAAGCCAGCCCUUCCACCAGUGACUAUAACCAUCAGUCACUACAAACAUCUUCUAGCCACCAGUACUUAAUCCAUGCCAGCCCUGCCAUCAGAGACUAUUACCAUCAGUCACAAGCAACAUCUUUUAGCCACCAAUACCUCAGCCAAGCCAGCCCUUCCACCAGUGACUAUAACCAUCAGUCACUACAAACAUCUUCUAGCCACCAGUACUUAAUCCAUGCCAGCCCUGCCAUCAGAGACUAUUACCAUCAGUCACAAGCAACAUCUUUUAGCCACCAAUACCUCAGCCAAGCCAGCCCUUCCACCAGUGACUAUAACCAUCAGUCACUACAAACAUCUUCUAGCCACCAGUACUUAAUCCAUGCCAGCCCUGCCAUCAGAGACUAUUACCAUCAGUCACAAGCAACAUCUUUUAGCCACCAAUACCUCAGCCAAGCCAGCCCUUCCACCAGUGACUAUAACCAUCAGUCACUACAAACAUCUUCUAGCCACCAGUACUUAAUCCAUGCCAGCCCUGCCAUCAGAGACUAUUACCAUCAGUCACAAGCAACAUCUUUUAGCCACCAAUACCUCAGCCAAGCCAGCCCUUCCACCAGUGACUAUAACCAUCAGUCACUACAAACAUCUUCUAGCCACCAGUACUUAAUCCAUGCCAGCCCUGCCAUCAGAGACUAUUACCAUCAGUCACAAGCAACAUCUUUUAGCCACCAAUACCUCAGCCAAGCCAGCCCUUCCACCAGUGACUAUAACCAUCAGUCACUACAAACAUCUUCUAGCCACCAGUACUUAAUCCAUGCCAGCCCUGCCAUCAGAGACUAUUACCAUCAGUCACAAGCAACAUCUUUUAGCCACCAAUACCUCAGCCAAGCCAGCCCUUCCACCAGUGACUAUAACCAUCAGUCACUACAAACAUCUUCUAGCCACCAGUACUUAAUCCAUGCCAGCCCUGCCAUCAGAGACUAUUACCAUCAGUCACAAGCAACAUCUUUUAGCCACCAAUACCUCAGCCAAGCCAGCCCUUCCACCAGUGACUAUAACCAUCAGUCACUACAAACAUCUUCUAGCCACCAGUACUUAAUCCAUGCCAGCCCUGCCAUCAGAGACUAUUACCAUCAGUCACAAGCAACAUCUUUUAGCCACCAAUACCUCAGCCAAGCCAGCCCUUCCCCCAGUGACUCUAACCAUCAGUCAGAGCCGACAUCUGUCAGCCAGCAGUAUGUCAGCCCUGCCAGCCCUACCAUCACUAACUAUAACCAUCAGUCACAAGCAACAUCUUUUAGCCACCAAUACUUAAUCCAUGCCAGCCCUGCCACCAGUGACUUUAACCAUCAGUCACAACAAACAUCUUCUAGGCACCAAUACUUAAUCCAUGCCAGCCCUGCCACCAGUGACUUUAACCAUCAGUCACAACAAACAUCUUCUAGGCACCAAUACUUAAUCCAUGCCAGCCCUGCCACCAGUGACUUUAACCAUCAGUCACAACAAACAUCUUCUAGGCACCAAUACUUAAUCCAUGCCAGCCCUGCCACCAGUGACUUUAACCAUCAGUCACAANCAUCUUUUAGCCACCAAUACCUCAGCCAAGCCAGCCCUUCCCCCAGUGACUUUAACCAUCAGUCAGAGCCGACAUCUGUCAGCCAGCAGUAUGUCAGCCCUG